rnacentral:rRNA from 1 species
GUCUGCGGCCAUGCCACCCUGAACAAGCCUGAUCCCAUCUGAUCUCGGAAGCUAAGCAGGGUCAGGCCUGGUUAAUGCUUGGAUGGGAGACCAUCUAGGAAGACCAGGUGCUAUAGGCA